GCUAUAAGCACAGCAAACGUUUUAUGCUAACUGUUCAAUUAAUAUUUUGCCCAUAAAUCUAUGUGCAAAUGUGGCAAUCUCAAGGCUUUAGUCACUGUAUUUUUAUGAAGUAUGAUGCAUUUUAUUUUGCAGUGAAGGUGUAUUCAAAAUCACAAAACCAUGAAAGCAUCUGAAAAAUGUCCUGUUCAUUCCCACCGUGACUGUUUUUUUUUUUUUCAACAUUCUUGUAUUUACAUUUUAAACUGAAUAUUGAGCAUAUAACUCCAGUUUAUAGUACCACCAUUUCCCCCAGGAUAAUGACCAAACUGUCUGAAAACAUGUAAAUAUGCUAUGCUUCAGAAACACGUGAAUGUGUAGUGCAAAGUGGUUGAAGAGUUUGAGUUCCUCUAUCACUUCUACACUCUAAAAAGUAAUUAAUGUGACCUUUAGUCAUUACUUACAUAUAUAUGUUGUUGUGAAAUGAAAAAUCAAGUUCAUAAAUACUGUUAGACUUCCUAAUUAAAAUUUUUAUUUUAUUGAGUUCGGGUGACACAUAAAUUAUGCCUCUUUACUCAAUAUAUAAUCGUGAUUUGUCUGAAUUUAAAAUCUUCUUUUAAUCAAAAAACAAUAUAAUUUUAAGUUCUGUCGAUGUAAAAUACAACUUGAUGAUGUGUAAACAGCUCACAGUUCCCUUCUUCUACUCAAGCGGACAUAUUCAACAGCACGUGUUCAAGGUUUAUCAAGAGCUGUGUUCGUCGCGAACGGACAAAGGCUCAAACCAUCAUCUUUUCCUGGUAUCGAAUACCAAGGGACCUUCUGAAGUAAGCUUUAACAAGAUGAGGAGGAGCUCAACGCAGACCUUGCAAUGCAAAUCAUGAAGAUUGCUAUCAUUGGUGAUGGGCCUGCAACCAUCAUCGUUGAGGGAUCCAAGAUCCUGGAGAGGAUUGAUGUUGCCAGAUCCUGUGCUUUGAUGAUGGGAGUAAUCUACGCUCUGAACCUUACCUAUCCCAAGCAGCUGAAAUUUACCUUUGAGGUAUUUCAAAAGCUAUGCCUUGAGCUUGAUGGACAAAAAGCCAGCUCUAAAGUAAUGAAUCUUAAGUUUGGUAUUUUCUAAGGCAGACUUGAUAGACCAUUCGUGAGUGAGUUUCACAAAAACCUUAUUCCUGCAUUUCUGGCACUACAUCAAUGUGUUUUACUAAAUUUUAAAGUGCUGUUCUUAAGUCUUCUGAGUUAAUGUUUUGCCGUGUCUUAAAUGCUGUUAUUUGCACAUUUUUAAGGAAUGCGUUUAAUUUCUCCCAUGACCUGUGUUCUGAGGGUACUGGUGUGUUUUAAAGUUUGUGUAAUGCCCUCUUUAGCUGGCCUUAAUCUUGAGGGUGAAAAGUCAAAUAUAGAAGAGAAUCAAGAAUACUUUGUAAGAGUGCUGACAAAGUUGAAUGAAAGAAGCUUUGCUCAUUUUAUGUUUAAAUUAGUGCAUUUAAUGUCUGCCUGUCAUCUUUUGUUUUGAUUCACUGUCACAUGUUAAAGUAAAAAAAAAAAAGAGGAUUCAAGUAGUAGCUUGUAUUACAAUUUUAAUACACAGUUCCUUAAGUUUCAGCGGGCAAUUUGUGUUCUAGGAAACGGAAGCCCACAAAUCUUGCACUUCACACGCACGUUAAAGAAUUGUGAUGUUUGUUAUUGUAAUUAAAUGGGUCUAACUCAUUUGAAUACAUCUGUCUGAAUUUCUAUUCUUUCUGAGCACCAGGUACGAGUCCCUUAGCUGAUGUCCAGGUAUUUGGCAUCACAUCUGCCGCAUUCAAACAAAUACACACAACAUCCAUUUCUUUUUCUGAAGGUCAUGACACAAGAGCACACACAGCGCAUGUUAAGGCUGACCUUCGUUUGGGGAAAAAAGUGAUCGACAAGUUUCUAAGGUCUUAGAACCUUGACUUCUUUGUGGGCAGGCACCACCAUGCAUGAGCCUGCCCACGCGGUAGUCAUGGUUAUAAGACACAGCUUUUGAUCAAGGUUGUAUUUUGGAGCGACUUAGCCUGCUGGGAAACAGGUAAAUGCCCUUAUAGAAUCUCCUGUAGGACCAAAAAAUUACUACACUGUAACCAAAAUAUCAUAUUUGACCAACAUAAAUACUAUUUAUGCCGACAGUUAAGUUCAUUUUAAUUAUAAAUGUGUUUUAUUUUGAUCAAAAAGUUACUUCACCAUACAUAAAUAUAAUCUUGGAUCAACUUAAAUUCCUGUGUAUUUGUUGACAAUUAUUAAGUUCAUGUUACUCAGAAUGUGUUUUUUUUUGUGGCCAAAAAGUAACUUCACUAUACAUAAAAUUCACGUUGGAUCAACUUAAAUUUUUGUGUUCUAGUCGAAAAUUAUUAAGUUAAUUUUACUUAAGAAUGUUUUUAAUUGUGGCCAAAAAAGCUACUUCACCAUACUCAAAAAUAUUGCUUUGAAUUAAUGCUAUUCUGCCAGAAGUUGGCUUAACUCAAAAAUUCUAGUGGAAAACGUUAACAUGCUUUUUUUAUUUGAACCAAUGUUUUAUUUAUUAGAGUGUA
ensembl:lncRNA